AUGGCUCAGACGAACGCUGGCGGCGUGCUUAACACAUGCAAGUCGAACGCGAAAGGGACUUCGGUCCUGAGUAAAAGUGGCGCACGGGUGAGUAACGCGUAGAUAACCUGUCUUCAUGUCUGGAAUAAUACGCCAAAGGGGUACUAAUACCGGAUAUUCUUGCUUUUCAUAAGUUAUGCAAGCAAAGGUGGCCUCUGCAUAUGCUACUGCAUGAAGAGGGGUCUGCGUACCAUUAGCUGGUAGGUGGGGUAAUGGCCUACCUAGGCGACGAUGGUUAGCGGGUCUGAGAGGAUGAUCCGCCACACUGGCACUGGAACACGGGCCAGACUCCUACGGGAGGCAGCAGUGAGGAAUAUUGCGCAAUGGGGGAAACCCUGACGCAGCGACGCCGCGUGAGUGAGGAAGGCCUUCGGGUCGUAAAGCUCUGUCAAGAGGAAAGAAGUGUACAAUGGCUAAUACCUGUUGUAUUUGACGGUACCUCUAAAGGAAGCACCGGCUAACUCCGUGCCAGCCGCCGC
rnacentral:rRNA from 1 species